GCCUGAUGCAGCAACGCCGCGUGAGGGACGACGGCCUUCGGGUUGUAAACCUCUUUUAGCAGGGAAGAAGCGAAAGUGACGGUACCUGCAGAAAAAGCACCGGCUAACUACGUGCCAGCAGCCGCGGUAAUACGUAGGGUGCAAGCGUUAUCCGGAAUUAUUGGGCGUAAAGAGCUCGUAGGCGGUUUGUCGCGUCUGCUGUGAAAACUGGGGGCUCAACCCCCAGCCUGCAGUGGGUACGGGCAGACUAGAGUGCGGUAGGGGAGAUUGGAAUUCCUGGUGUAGCGGUGGAAUGCGCAGAUAUCAGGAGGAACACCGAUGGCGAAGGCAGAUCUCUGGGCCGUAACUGACGCUGAGGAGCGAAAGGGUGGGGAGCAAACAGGCUUAGAUACCCUGGUAGUCCACCCCGUAAACGUUGGGAACUAGUUGUGGGGUCCAUUCCACGGAUUCCGUGACGCAGCUAACGCAUUAAGUUCCCCGCCUGGGGAGUACGGCCGCAAGGCUAAAACUCAAAGGAAUUGACGGGGACCCGCACAAGCGGCGGAGCAUGCGGAUUAAUUCGAUGCAACGCGAAGAACCUUACCAAGGCUUGACAUAUACGAGAACGCUGCAGAAAUGUAGAACUCUUUGGACA
rnacentral:rRNA from 2 species